AUUGAACGCUGGCGGCAGGCCUAACACAUGCAAGUCGAGCGGAUGAAGGGAGCUUGCUCCUGGAUUCAGCGGCAGACGGGUGAGUAAUGCCUAGGAAUCUGCCUGGUAGUGGGGGAUAACGUCCGGAAACGGGCGCUAAUACCGCAUACGUCCUGAGGGAGAAAGUGGGGGAUCUUCGGACCUCACGCUAUCAGAUGAGCCUAGGUCGGAUUAGCUAGUUGGUGGGGUAAAGGCCUACCAAGGCGACGAUCCGUAACUGGUCUGAGAGGAUGAUCAGUCACACUGGAACCGAGACACGGUCCAGACUCCUACGGGAGGCAGCAGUGGGGAAUAUUGGACAAUGGGCGAAAGCCUGAUCCAGCCAUGCCGCGUGUGUGAAGAAGGUCUUCGGAUUGUAAAGCACUUUAAGUUGGGAGGAAGGGCAGUAAGUUAAUACCUUGCUGUUUUGACGUUACCAACAGAAUAAGCACCGGCUAACUUCGUG
rnacentral:rRNA from 1 species